AAUAGAUACCCCGGUAGUCCACGCCGUAAACGGUGGGCACUAGGUGUGGGCAACAUUCCACGUUGUCCGUGCCGCAGCUAACGCAUUAAGUGCCCCGCCUGGGGAGUACGGCCGCAAGGCUAAAACUCAAAGGAAUUGACGGGGGGCCCGCACAAGCGGCGGAGCAUGUGGCUUAAUUCGACGCAACGCGAAGAACCUUACCAAGGCUUGACAUACACCGGAAACGUCUGGAGACAGGCGCCCCCUUGUGGUCGGUGUACAGGUGGUGCAUGGCUGUCGUCAGCUCGUGUCGUGAGAUGUUGGGUUAAGUCCCGCAACGAGCGCAACCCUUGUCCCGUGUUGCCAGCAGGCCCUUGUGGUGCUGGGGACUCACGGGGAGACCGCCGGGGUCAACUCGGAGGAAGGUGGGGACGACGUCAAGGUCAGUCAUGCCCCUUAUGUCUUGGGCUGCACACGUGCUACAAUGGCCGGUACAAUGAGCUGCGAUACCGCGAGGUGGAGCGAAUCUCAAAAAGCCGGUCUCAGUUCGGAUUGGGGU
rnacentral:rRNA from 1 species